AGAAGACAGAUCUCUGGCCGAGUUGGUCCUCUCGCUUCGCCUCUUCCUCUCGGAUUUCGCUUCCUUCCUUUCCACAAAGGUUACAAACCAGAACCCUGGCAUGGUUACAAACCAUCCCCACCCAAUGGAUGUGGGACGCCCCUCUUCGGAGUCCAGUUGACAUUGACAUCCCGUCCUUGACCAAGUUCUAUAACCAGCACGACCAUUGCUAUGACACCUAUAACCGUGAUAAACACGACUGUGACGAUGAGUUCCCGGAAUGCCUGGAGACCAUCUGUAGGAGAUUACAGAAGAUGUUGGGACUUGCCCAGAGUGUCCAAGGUAAGAUAGCACCUGGGUUAUGUUCAU